AUUGAACGCUGGCGGCAUGCCUUACACAUGCAAGUCGAACGGCAGCACGGGGGCAACCCUGGUGGCGAGUGGCGAACGGGUGAGUAACAUAUCGGAACAUACCCUAGAGUGGGGGAUAACGUAGCGAAAGUUACGCUAAUACCGCAUACGAUCUAAGGAUGAAAGUGGGGGGAUCUUCGGACCUCAUGCUCAUGGAGUGGCCGAUAUCUGAUUAGCUAGUUGGUGAGGUAAAGGCUCACCAAGGCGACGAUCAGUAGCUGGUUUGAGAGAACGACCAGCCACACUGGAACUGAGACACGGUCCAGACUCCUACGGAGGCAGCAGUGGGGAAUUUUGGACAAUGGGGGCAACCCUGAUCCAGCAAUGCCGCGUGAGUGAAGAAGGCCUUCGGGUUGU
rnacentral:rRNA from 1 species